GAUGAACGCUGGCGGCGUGCUUAACACAUGCAAGUCGAACGAAGACAUCUGAGUGCUUGCACUUGGAUGGACUGAGUGGCGGACGGGUGAGUAACGCGUGGGUAACCUGCCUUAUACAGGGGGAUAACAGUUGGAAACGACUGCUAAUACCGCAUAAGCGCACGGUAUCGCAUGAUACAGUGUGAAAAACUCCGGUGGUAUAAGAUGGACCCGCGUCUGAUUAGAUAGUUGGUGAGGUAACGGCCCACCAAGUCAACGAUCAGUAGCCGGCCUGAGAGGGCGAACGGCCACAUUGGGACUGAGACACGGCCCAAACUCCUACGGGAGGCAGCAGUGGGGAAUAUUGCACAAUGGGGGAAACCCUGAUGCAGCGACGCCGCGUGAGUGAAGAAGUAUUUCGGUAUGUAAAGCUCUAUCAGCAGGGAAGAAAGACAUGACGGUACCUGACUAAGAAGCCCCGGCUAACUACGUGCC
rnacentral:rRNA from 1 species